CUGACCUCAAAUCGGGUAGGACUACCCGCUGAACUUAA
rnacentral:rRNA from 5 species